AUAAAGAUCACCUGGGGAUCUUGUUAAAAUUUAGAUUAUGAAUCAGUAGUUGUGGGAGGGGGCCUGAUAGUCUGCAUUUCUGAUAAGCUCCAAGGUGAUAUUAAU
rnacentral:pre_miRNA from 1 species